AGAAAAGUUCCACCAAGAAUCGAUUUAAAAACUAAUAAGUACCAAAACAAAACUAACUUUCGUUAAAAAUAGUACCUCGAGGGAAACUUGAAAUAUUAUUAAAAUAAAAACUAGAAAAGGAGAUCAAACCCUACCUUUUGCAUCAUGGCCUAACAAGAACAUAGGACAGCAUUCCAAUACCCGAAAAGUGGCGAGCUAAUUUAUCCUACAGAUAGAGUUAGAACCUCACUGUUGCAAUAGUGAGACAAGAGGUAUAAUUAGUGGUGAAAUGCCAAUCGCGCCACCUGAUAACUGGUUUUCGGAGAAAAAAGUAAAAGCUUAUCUAUCCAAAGGAGUAUUUUCUAUAUUUUAUAAAGUAAAGAGCAGCCCUAGGAAUAGAAAGAGAGUAGAAGAUAAGUCCUACCCUCAAAAGGGAAACAACCCUAAGCGUAAACAAGACCAAUAAAAACAAGGAGAUAAAAACAAAGUAGGCCUAAAAGCUGCCAACCUAAAAGAAAGCGUUAAAGCUCUAAAAACAUCCUCCAAAAAUACAUGAAACAAAGCUCAUUUUCACUAAAAAUUAUCCGAAAUUAAUAAUGUUAGGAUAAGUAAAAAUAAGACCUUUUCAAUCUCACCAGGAAUAUAUAAAACUCAACCAAAAGAGCAGAACACGAGAAUGCUUAACCCACAAUGCCAUCAACCCAGACGUGAGAAAAUUAGGUUAAACAGAAGGAAAGGAACUCGGCAAACAACGAAAAGGACUGUUUACCAAAAACAUAGCCCUUUGAAAAUAAAUAAAGGGUCCCGCCUGCCCAGUGGCUUAAAGCUAAACGGCCGCGGUAUCUUGACCGUGCAAAGGUAGCAUAAUCAUUUGUCUUUUAAAUGGAGACUUGUAUGAACGGCAAAACCUUUUCUAACUGUCUCUCCUUCUGCCCUUCUAAAUUUCUAUUUAUGUGAAGAAGCAUAAAUACCAGAGAAAGACGAGAAGACCCUGUCGAGCUUCAGCCAGUAAGUGAAUGAGAAGAUUUUUUCAACCAUAUCACCUAAAGGCUUUGGUUGGGGCAACCAUGGAGAAAAAAAAUCCUCCAGAACCAAUAAAAGAAGACUACUCUUUAUUAUAUACUCAAUUGAAGAACCAGAAACUGGAAAACGGAAAAAGUUACCGCAGGGAUAACAGCGUAAUCCCCUCUAAGAGUCCUUAUUGACGAGGGGGCUUGCGACCUCGAUGUUGGAUUGGGGCCUCCCUUGGGUGCAGAAGCUCUAAACGGUUAGACUGUUCGUCUAUUAAAGCCCUACAUGAUCUGAGUUCAGACCGACGCGAGUCAGGUCAGCUUCUAUCUCCUUCAAGACCUUCCUAGUACGAAAGGACCGGAAAGUCCCUUUAAAUAAUUAUCUUCAAAAAGGAAAGAAAAACAGAAAACUUUUAUAAAAAUCCACCAAUUAUACCCAAGACUAGACCCUUCAACAUCUUAUCUUAAAGUACAUCUAAGGUCUAAAAAAUCACACAAAAAAUUAUUUUUAAAACCUAGAUAAGGGGGGGGCCUUACAGAUUUUUAGGAAACUUUCCAAAAUUAUAAAUC
rnacentral:rRNA from 1 species